rnacentral:lncRNA from 1 species
GAUAGUUUGAGGCUAUGAUCCAUUUAUGCUGGCGGUAAAGAUGAUUUUUCCUCUAUAUAUACCUAUGUUGUUUAUCUUGGUCGAGAUCCAGUAUUGUCGGGUUUUAGAAAGUAAAGAAAUGUCAUUGAUCCUCAAUUGAGGUUGAAUAUCAUUCUGUUGCCAAUACCACUGCUAAACGCAAUUGGGUUCAUAUCUCUUAUUGGACCUUAGCGUUAAGGUAUCCUUAUGCCCCAUGAUUUAUUGUGAUAAUUAGCAUCAAUCAACUAUGUUUCAACUCGACGUUCCGUUCAAGAAUGAGGCAUGUUACAAUUGAUUUUCAUUCCAUUCAGGAUCAAAUUCAAAGUGAUACUCUACGUGUUGCUCGUCUGUUGUGAGUCCAUCAAUUAGCUGAUAAUCUCACAAAGCCACUUCCUUUACAUGCAUUCUUGAGCUCAAAUUCAAGAUUGGACUCCACUCCCCGACUUAGUAUUGAGAGGGCAUACCAAUGGAUUUUAUCCUCAUUGGUUCUUAGCAUCAUUUUUGGAGAUUGCUUAAUUGGAGUUUGUAUAUCUGAAUUCAUUAUUGUUGUUGCUUUAGAUUGAUUCCAAGAUAUAUAUUAUCUCAUUUGUAUAGUUUAGAGUUAUCACAAAUACUAGUUUUUAGAAAAAUUUGUCAUGAAAUUGUUGUGUAAG